rnacentral:rRNA from 1 species
AACGAACGCUGGCGGCAGGCCUAACACAUGCAAGUCGAACGCAUCGCAAGAUGAGUGGCGCACGGGUGAGUAACACGUGGGAAUGUAUCCUUUGGUUCGGAAUAACGUCUGGAAACGGACGCUAAUACCGGAUGAGCCCUUAGGGGGGAAGAUUUAUCGCCGAAGGAGCAGCCCGCGUCUGAUUAGGUAGUUGGUGGGGUAAAGGCCUACCAAGCCGACGAUCAGUAGCUGGUCUGGGAGGAUGAUCAGCCACACUGGGACUGAGACACGGCCCAGACUCCUACGGGAGGCUGCAGUGGGGAAUAUUGGACAAUGGGCGCAAGCCUGAUCCAGCCAUGCCGCGUGAAUGAUGAAGGUCUUAGGAUUGUAAAAUUCUUCCACCGGGGACGAUAAUGACGGUACCCGGAGAAGAAGCCCCGGCUAACUUCGUGCCAGCAGCCGCCGUAACAC